rnacentral:rRNA from 1 species
UGGGGAAUAUUGCACAAUGGAGGGAACUCUGAUGCAGCGACGCCGCGUGAGUGAUGAAGGAAUUCGUUUCGUAAAACUCUGUUCUAUGGGAAGAAAAGGACUGUACCAUAGGAGAAAGCUCCUGCUAAAUACGUGCCAGCAGCCGCGGUAAUACGUAUGGCGCGAGCGUUGUCCGGAAUUAUUGGGCGUAAAGGGUGCGCAGGCGGCUUUACAAGUUGGAUGUGAAAUAUUGUGGCUCAACCACAAACGUGCAUCCAAAACUGCAAAGCUUGAGUUAAGGAGAGGUAAGUGGAAUUCCUGGUGUAGCAGUGGAAUGCGUAGAUAUCAGGAGGAAUACCGGUGGCGAAGGCGACUUACUGGACUUAAACUGACGCUCAGGCACGAAAGCGUGGGGAGCAAACAGG